CUUUAACCCUGGAUUAGCUUCCUUUUCCAGGUUUAGGAGCUGACCCCAACAUUUCCCCCGCUCCGCUACCUGAACUCUGAGAGAUAGACCUCUCCUUGGGGAUGGCCAUUGGAGUUGUUUUCUGGAUUGAAGCCAGCUUGGACUCAUCACAACAACAAAGAUGUCCAUCUGGUUUUUGCAGGAGGACAGUGGGGCUCGUGGAGUGAACCCUGGGGCUGCUCUGCGUUGAUGCUCAGACAGCGAGCAGGAGACGUUGACUAAUGUGCUAUAUACCGAGCAGAGGUUUGGCAAUGCCAGGGGCUUCAAUGAUGACUUUUCCUGCAGGCCCACCCAUUGGUGCCCGGCGGCACGGGGAGGGGAGGGUGGAAGGUUUGAGUGAGCGAUAGGGGAGGAGGUCAGACGGCA